rnacentral:sRNA from 1 species
UUAGCCCUAUCGCAACAGGGCACGAGCAGGAGGCCGGUCAUGUUUUUCGAUAAUGUAGUGUUUGCCGGAGUGUUGACUGUCAGCCUCAUGGUGUUGUUUUUUGUAGGGUUUGGAAUUUUUAUCUGGAAGGACGCUAAUAAGCGUAAAGAACCGUAAGUUCUUCUGGGUUAUAUGAGCACGCAAGGCAUUUUGGGCGACUUCGGUCGCCCUUUUUUUUG